GGGGAUUUAGCUCAGUGGUAGAGCGCUUGCCUAGCAAGCACAAGGCCCUGGGUUCAGUCCCAAGCUCCG
rnacentral:tRNA from 1 species